rnacentral:rRNA from 1 species
AGCUCCAAUAGCGUAUAUUAAAGUUGUUGCAGUUAAAAAGCUCGUAGUUGGAUUUGUGGUGUGUCCAGUUGGCCUUUGCUCUUUGAGUGAUUGUGCUGUACUGGUCUGCCAUGUUUGGGUGGAAUCUGUGUGGCAUUAAGUUGUCGUGCAGGGGAUGCCCAUCGUUUACUGUGAAAAAAUUAGAGUGUUCAAAGCAGGCUUAUGCCGUUGAAUAUAUUAGCAUGGAAUAAUGAUAUAGGACCUUGGUACUAUUUUGUUGGUUUGCGCACUAAGGUAAUGAUUAAGAGGGACAGUUGGGGGUAUUUGUAUUCCAUUGUCAGAGGUGAAAUUCUUGGAUUUUUGGAAGACAAACUACUGCGAAAGCAUUUACCAAGGAUGUUUUCAUUAAUCAAGAACGAAA